GACGAACGCUGGCGGCGUGCUUAACACAUGCAAGUCGAACGAAGUGGCGAACGGGUGAGUAACGCGUAAUCAACCUGCCCUUAAGAGGGGGACAACAGUUGGAAACGACUGUUAAUACCGCAUAAUGAAGGAGGGGAUUGCGUCUGAGUGGCUAGCUGGAGGGGUAACGGCCAACCAAGGCGAUGAUCAGUAGCCGGGCUGAGAGGAUGAACGGCCAAAUUGGGACUGAGACACGGCCCAGACUCCUACGGGAGGCAGCAGUGGGGAAACUGCCGCAAUGGACGAAAGUCUGACGGAGCAACGCCGCGUGAGUGAUGACGGCCUUCGGGUUGUAAAGCUCUGUUAAUCGGGACGCGGUACCGGAAUAGAAAGCCACGGCUAACUACGUGCCAGCCGCCGCGGUAAUUC
rnacentral:rRNA from 1 species